rnacentral:lncRNA from 1 species
GAUUAAAAAGAGGACGACAUUGAUAGAAACUAAACAAGUAUAAAUAAUGAAAUAUCAUAAACAAUUAACAAUAAUUAAAGCUAUAUUCUUUAGUAUUUAUAAAUAAAAGUUUUAUUUUGAAUUAAGUAUCAAGUGGCUAUGCCAAUAGGUGCUUCCUGAGUUUUGUUAACAUGCUACUGUGGAGCAAUUUAAAUUAUAUUGUACUCUAUGCAAUACAUAAUAGUUGGUCAAAGAAUUAUUUGACAUCAUCUGAGGGUAUUUUGUGGAAUUAACAUAGGUCAUGGGACAUUCCAGUGCACUGCAUAAAGAAAUUAUGGUCUUUACAGACCAAGACUUUGGGUAGCACAUUUUUAUCUGUAAAUCGUUAAAGAUUCAUUUGAAAGUAUAUUAAUCAUAUACCAUUCGAUUUGCUUAGUCAUUUUUCUCCACAAAUAUAUAAAUAUAUUAUUUGCAUAAAACAAGUUGACAAGUAUAUGUUCACCGAACGAAAUGAUAUUUUCCCAAUCAUUUGGAAACUUUUUCAAAGUUAAAUUAAGCUUUUCAAAAUCGAGCUUUUGUUUAAGAUUUGAGAUAUUAGUACAUGAAUACAAUACCAUAUUCUGACAAAAGGAAUAGAAUGGUACAAGGUUUAUAUACUUUGAAAUUAACUUUUACAAUUUAGUAAUAGAAAUAGGUCGCUCCAAAUCUAGAUCAGCAAUUUAAAUGUUUUCUGGAUGUGGUGCCCUAUGACAUCCCUAGGCCCAAGCAAGUCCCUAAAAAGGCUGCCAGGAGUCAGACAAUUCUCAGACUGUGGGGAAGCGGUCUGUAAAAUGAAUAGCAGGACAGAUUCACUCUAAAAUUUAGGAUAUAAUUUGGAGGAAAACAUUAACAUAAACAGAUUAAAAAGCAUAAAUGUAAAAAAGAAGAUGGAGUAUGAUUGCCAAUGAGACAACACUCAACAAGAGACCAAAUGACACAGAAAUUAACAACUAUAGGUCACUGUACUCUUUUUUUGUUGAAAGAAAGUGAUAUAUCGAAAUUAAAAAAAAAAUAACUAUUAUAAUAAGUAUAUAAAAAAAUAGUCAUAAAAUGAAUUUAUGACCAAUUAAUAGAAUCUCAAAAAGGGAAUAACCAAUAACAUUAUUGAUGUAGCACAUAGUUAUGUUGAUUUUUACUAAAUUGUGUAUUUUGAAAAUCUAUUUUCUAAUGAAAUUUUGAGACAAUAUACAAAUGAUAUUUGUUAUAUUAAUGAAGCUUUUGAAAAAAAAUUACAAGUUGGAAAUUACAUAUUUUUCACAAUCAAUGAAUAUAAUUAACUAUCGUUGUUGAAUACAUUUUUUAGACAACACAAUUACACUUUAUAUUAUUAAAGGGGCACUAGCUACAAAAUGAUGUUCACCGAUUUGACUCAAAUUCUCAUAUUAGAUUUAUAACAUUAUUAAACACAUAUCCAACUUAUAAUAAGUCUUAUAUGAAGAGUAAACAUUGCAUAUACUAGAUAAUAUAUAUAAGAUUUUCUCGUGUAUUUUAGACUAUACGUAAUCUAAUUACUAUCGAGAUGACUCCGAAAACUACCGACGGUGACAUAACACGAUACAAACGUAAACAAAAAUAUAAAUAUUCAUGGUCUUCGCGUAAAUGGAUUUUUCUAUGUCCAUUUGAUUUCAUGUUUAAGGUUAAAAAUAAGUUCAUUUUCGAUUUUACCGGUAUAAGAAUUAUUUUGUGGAUCGAAUCAGUCAAUCAAAUGAUUUACCGUUGUGUCACUUUCAAUAUUGACAUUCUUUUAUUAAUAGAACACGCAUCAAUCAUGUGUAAUCUAUCUCUAGCUAGGGGGUUAGAUUUAAGUUCACAUGAAUACGGAUUCAAAGAGGUAGAAUCAUUCACUUGCAAGUGAAUAAUUCAUCAUCGAUGUUUCUUAGCUUAUUUUGACAAAAUUGAACCAAACUGGCUGCUACACUUUCAUUUAUGAUUGAAGAAAACAAAUCAGAAUUUUAAUUGUUUAUGUAUCUCGAAGCUAGUGACACUUUAAGAGGUAAAUUAGUAUAAAAUCACCAUAAUAUAAAUGAAAAGCAAUUAAUUUUCACUUGAUGUUCAAAACUUAAGACAAUCCCGUAUUUCACAAAUUCCCAACACAUACAUUUAAAAUAUUUAAUAUUAAAACAUGAUUAUUUUAAAGUUUGUCUUACAAAUGAUUUUAACAUCAGAUGUCAAUGAAAAUUAUUUCUUUUAUCAUUUGUAUCAUAAUAGAUAAUGACAUUGGAUGUCCAUAUCAGCCCUAAAAUAUCAGCCAGAGACCCUCAUAUCGAAACGAGGGUUUAAAUUGAAUGUCUAGGGAAGAUAUGUUCGCUGACAUGGACGUAAGCAUGUAUCUGUCACAUAUUUAGCCUGCACAAUCUGAACGAGAAAUAGAAUAAACGAUUGGAAAACAGAUAUUUUUGUUUAUUAAGUUUGUUUGCAUUCAAUUUGUUUUUGAUUGUUCGUUCUAGUAUGUAAUUUCCAACUUGUAAUUUUUUUCUGCAUUUUUAAUGAUCCCUUGAUAAUUUUAAUAACCACGCGUUGUCUGCACCUAUAAUCGACACACACUUCUCGUUCAAACAUUUGAAAUUGAUUGUCCCUUCGGUAUUUUUGCCUCUCAUUCGUUUCAAGCAAUGAUGUCAUAAAAUAGAGUAAAAAAAAAAAAUUAAAGCUGAGUUUAUCCAGUUUAACACACCAUUGGUAAACCAGUUCUAUAAACGGCACAUUUACACUUUUAUCAAACAAGUCUGGCAAACUAUACAUUGCCGAUGUGGAUUUUGAACACAAGGGGCUCUCUUCUGGUUCAAACCAAUUAUUUCCCUCGGUCUGAAAUAUAACUAAGCAUAUCAACUUUUAUUACACACAAAAAUGUUGUAACAAAUACGUGAUAG